GACGAACGCUGGCGGCGUGGAUUAGGCAUGCAAGUCGGACGGUAGGGCUUUAUCGUAAGAUAGAGUUUGAGAGUGGCGAACGGGUGAGUAACACGUAGGAAUCUACCCUUAAGACGGGGACAACCCAGGGAAACUUGGGCUAAUACCGGAUGAGAGUGCGAGAGAUUGCAUUUAAAAGGAUGGCGAAAGUUGUCGCUUAGGGAUGAGCCUGCGGUCUAUUAGUUAGUUGGUGAGGUAAGAGCUCACCAAGGCGAUGAUAGAUAGGCGGCCUUAACGGGUGGUCGCCCACACUGGGACUGAGACACGGCCCAGACUCCUACGGGAGGCAGCAGUGAGGAAUAUUGGUCAAUGGGCGGAAGCCUGAACCAGCCAUGCCGCGUGCGGGAUGAAGGCCCUACGGGUUGUAAACCGCUUUUCCCCGGGAAGAAUAAGCCCCCGCGGGGGUGAGUGCCGGUACCGGGGAAUAAGGAUCGGCUAACUCCGUG
rnacentral:rRNA from 1 species